GGAACAUUAGAAGCUGCUGGAGUAACUGCUGUUGUUGACAGGCAGGAGUCUCAUGUUCUUCUCUGUCUUCCUGUGGAUUCAGUGAGCAGAAAAAAGAGGAUGUCCAAGGAACCUGUUAAAUCUGAAGACAGAGCAAACAAUAGAGAACAGUGUUUAGCUGAUCAGAGACAGCCAGAGGAGCAGGAUGAUCUUCAGUAUACCAGCAUCCACUUCUCCAAUAACCAGGCGGAUCCUCUCUACUCCAACAUCAGAGCAGCUCAGCCUCACAGACACAUGCAGGAACAGGAAGUUACUGAGUACACUGCUGUUAGAUUUAACAGAGGCAGUGCAGCCAAGAGAGACAGAAGUCAGGAAACAGGAGAGUCUCCAUGUGCACUGUUC